GACGAACGCUGGCGGCGUGCUUAACACAUGCAAGUCGAACGGAAAGGCCCUGCUUUUGUGGGUUGCUCGAGUGGCGAACGGGUGAGUAACACGUGAGUAACCUGCCCUUUACUUUGGGAUAACUUCAGGAAACUGGGGCUAAUACCGGAUAGGAUCUCCUGCUGCAUGGUGGGGGUUGGAAAGUUUCGGCGGUUGGGGCUGGACUCGCGGCUUAUCAGCUUGUUGGUGGGGUAGUGGCUUACCAAGGCUUUGACGGGUAGCCGACCUGAGAGGGUGACCGGGCACAUGGGGACUAAGAGACGGACCAGACGGCUACGGGAGGCAGCGGGGGGGAAUAUUGCAGAAUGGGCGGAAGUCUGAGGCAGAAACGCCGCGUGCGGGAUGACGGGUUUCGGGUUGUAAACAGAUGUCGCCGGUGACGAAGCGUGAGUGACGGUAAUGGGUAAAGAAGCAACGGCUAACUACGUG
rnacentral:rRNA from 1 species